AGCUAUUUCAGCUCUUUCAGAAUUUUUGUCUAGCAGGUUUUCAGACUUUGGUUAGAAAACACAA